ACGCGUACUCGGAGGCAUCACGAGGUAAGGUUCCUUCUUUUCUCUUUAUCCUUCACUCGAUUAACAGAAAAUAAAAAAAAUCUGGAGAAAGAAAGAAAAAACCGAAGAAAAAAAGAUUGAAUCACCUUUCGAAUAAACUCUUUGCCUUUUUUUGUAUUGAUAUUGUGUUUGAUACAGUAUGCGUGGGUUCUCCUCCCCCUUUUCAAAUACAGAAAAAUGGCUUUUAUAUAGCCGAAUCCAAAAGAAAAAAUAAAUAAAAAAUACAUCUCUUUUUUCCUGCCCUCCUCCCUUUUUUUUAGGGUUUUUGAAAGGCUAUUUUAUAGCCGAACAAAGAAAAAGAAAAGAAAAAUAAAAAUGAAAUCCCUCUCUAUUUUUUUCUUCCUAUUUCUACUAGUAUUUGUUGUCGAUGUUGUUGCCUUUUCUCUUUGCUGUUGCUGUCUGUUUUGUUGCUCGUUUGUUUGUCCUUUGCAGGUACUAUAACACCCC
rnacentral:lncRNA from 1 species